UUUUAGAGAGUUUGAUCCUGGCUCAGGACGAACGCUGGCGGCGUGCCUAACACAUGCAAGUCGAACGGAGUAAUUUGGCGGAAGUUUUCGGAUGGAAGCUGAUUUACUUAGUGGCGGACGGGUGAGUAACACGUGAGUAACCUGCCUCUCAGAGGGGGAUAACGUCUUGAAAAGGACGCUAAUACCGCAUGACAUCUUGUGACCGCAUGGUUGUGAGAUCAAAGGAGCAAUCCGCUGAGAGAUGGACUCGCGUCCGAUUAGCCAGUUGGCGGGGUAACGGCCCACCAAAGCAACGAUCGGUAGCCGGACUGAGAGGUUGAACGGCCACAUUGGGACUGAGACA
rnacentral:rRNA from 1 species